AAUGGGACAACAAUGGAGA
rnacentral:snRNA from 1 species